rnacentral:rRNA from 1 species
CUCCUACGGGAGGCAGCAGUGGGGAAGUAUUGCGCAAUGGGCGAAAGCCUGACGCAGCGACGCCGCGUGCGGGAUGAAGGCCUUCGGGUUGUAAACCGCUUUCAGCGGGACGAAGCGCAAGUGACGGUACCCGCACGAACGAAGCACCGGCUAACUACGUGCCAGCAGCCGCGGUAAUAC